rnacentral:rRNA from 1 species
AGAGUUUGAUCCUGGCUCAGGACGAACGCUGGCGGCGUGCCUAAUACAUGCAAGUCGAGCGGACUUGAUGGAGUGCUUGCACUCCUGAUAGUUAGCGGCGGACGGGUGAGUAACACGUGGGUAACCUGCCUGUAAGACUGGGAUAACAUUCGGAAACGAAUGCUAAUACCGGAUACGCGAAUCGGUCGCCUGGCUGAUUC